rnacentral:misc_RNA from 1 species
AAUCAAGAAACCAUUUGCCAAAAGUUGCGUCACGGAUGCAAGCUCAAUUCAUAUAUUGAGAAAUUGCCUGAUGGCCUGGGAGAAAAAGUGAAGCACUUCUGGGAGAGCAAGACAAAAAAGUUAGAGAAGAAAUUAGGGAUGCUAGUGAAAAAGGAAGAGAUGGUGAAGCAACUGAAAGAGGAGGAGGCGGACUUUCUAGAACUAGUGGGGCAAAAAUACUUCUCAAGUCUGGCAGAUUCAGGAGAGCCAGUUGGUGUCCUUGCUGGUCAGUCAGUAGGUGAACCUUCAACCCAAAUGACACUGAACACUUUUCAUCUUGCGGGCCGUGGAGAAAUGAAUGUGACUCUUGGAAUUCCACGUCUUCAGGAGAUUCUAAUGACUGCCUCUGAGGCUAUUAAGACUCCCAUCAUGACGUGCCCCUUCCUCGGCUGGAAAUCAAAGAAUGAUGCCCAGUCUCUUUUGGCAAAAGUGAAGAAGAUCACCGUGGCAGAUAUGAUUGAGAGUAUGGAGGUCAAGCUUUUGCCAUUAUCAAUCUACAACCAUCAAGUGUCUCAACUAUACAAGCUAACGG